rnacentral:misc_RNA from 1 species
AUUUUAGCAGUUUUGAUACCAUAAUGAUUAUAUCAAAAAAAUGUUGAAUGGAGAUACCAUAUGCAGAUUACAUAAUACCAAAGGGACCAAACGUAUAUGUAUUCCCUGGUACAAUUGAAGUUGUUAAAAUGGAAUAGAUUCAUUAUUUUUGCAAAUUUCAACAUGUUGCCAGCACAGCUUUAUGAAGUAAGCAAAAUAAUAUCUAGAAUCUGUUCAAAAUCUCCUCCUGAUGAUCAAAUUAAUCAAAUAUCUAUGACCCCUAAAAAAGUUCAAAGAACAAGCAAUCUCAUUCUCUGGUGAUAAAUAAUAACCCCACAAUCAUAAAUUCAUAAUCAGCUUAGCAUUCUUCCAUCAUCAGCUAAAUAAAAUCUCUACACAUAACCAAUCAUGUAUACAAUAUUCAAAAUUCAUCUUCUGAAUAUCUCCUUUAGUUGAAUGCAUUUUUUUUGCUCUCACCAUUUUAUUUACCCAAG